AUCCAGCUGACGAGUCCCAAAUGGGAUGAAACGCGCGUUUUGGAU
rnacentral:hammerhead_ribozyme from 1 species